rnacentral:SRP_RNA from 1 species
GCGGCAGGUAGGGCCGGGGAGCUAGCCCUUCCCUGUAACCCGAAAUGGGCUACAUGCGGGGGCCGGAUAACCCGAGGGGCGCCUGCGAGGGGGAGGGCGCGGCUGCGGGCUUCGGGGGAUGAGGGCGCGCCCACGCAGGGCCUCGUAGGAGGCUGCCCCACUCGUAGGGGUGGGCAACAGCCUCCGAGCACGCCGAACCGCGUUAGGCCCGGGAGGGAGCAGCGCUAAGGCGUGGCGGGGCCGCGCGUGGAUCACGUGCCGGACUUCCUCCCGCUGCCCGCGGCCUCCCGUCCUCCUUGCCACCCUCGGGGGCUGCCGC